ensembl:lncRNA UBE2Q2P2 UBE2Q2 pseudogene 2
GGUGCGCGGGGUGGCUGGGGCUACGUGCAGAGCUGUCGCGGAGCCGGAGCAGCAGCGGUGAAGGCCCUCGGCUCGGCCGAGACCGCCGUGCCCAUUGCUCGCCUCGGUUGCCGCCGCUUUAGCCGCAGCCGCUGCUGCCGCCGCCGGGGGAGAGGCAGCCUAUUGUCUUUCUCCGCGGCGAAGGUGAGGAGCUGUCUCGGCUCGGCCCGCGGGGGAGCCCCGGGAGCCGCACGAAUGGGACAACAGAAGAAGUGACUUCAAAAGAAGACGAAGAGGAAGAGAUGGAUGAAGAUAUAGAAGACUUAGAUCACUAUGAGAUGAAAGAAGAGCCUAUUAGUGAGAAGAAGUUGGAGGAUGAAGGAACUGAAAAAGAAAAUUGGGCAAUAUUAGAGAAAAUUAGGAAGACUGAAAGGCAAGGCCAUUUAAAUGUGUUGACCCUGAUAGUCCUUUGCACAGUGAUCUUUAGAUCUUAAAAAGAAGCGAUAGGAGACAUUUUGCUUAUCUUUCAAGUGUUCCUGACAGCAUCUCAGAGGAUGGUGUCCUCUGGCUUACUCUCUGGGAAAUGCUGCUCUGUUGGAAAUCCGGAGUUCUGAGUGAUCCCCAUGCGUUUUCUGCUGCAGAGCAGGACAUGCUGAAGUGAUUCCUUCG